UACGUAGGGUGCAAGCGUUAAUCGGAAUUACUGGGCGUAAAGCGUGCGCAGGCGGUUUCGCAAGUCAGAUGUGAAAUCCCCGGGCUUAACCUGGGAACUGCAUUUGAAACUACGAGGCUGGAGUGUGUCAGAGGGGGGUAGAAUUCCACGUGUAGCAGUGAAAUGCGUAGAUAUGUGGAGGAACACCGAUGGCGAAGGCAACCCCCUGGGCCGACACUGACGCUGAGGCACGAAAGCGUGGGGAGCAAACAGG
rnacentral:rRNA from 1 species